GAUCCUGGCUUAGGAUGAACGCUAGCUACAGGCUUAACACAUGCAAGUCGAGGGGCAGCAUGGUCUUAGCUUGCUAAGGCCGAUGGCGACCGGCGCACGGGUGAGUAACGCGUAUCCAACCUGCCUUACACUCUUGGACAGCCUUCUGAAAGGGAGAUUAAUACAAGAUGUUAUCAUGAGUAAGCAUUUUCGCAUGAUUAAAGGUUUACCGGCGUAAGAUGGGGAUGCGUUCCA
rnacentral:rRNA from 1 species